ACUCAUUUUCUAAGGUUCCCUUUUCCCUUACCUUUUCCACAAUUCAUUCUUCCAUUCAAUGCCUCUGUUAUAGUUUUACCUUCUUUUUCUUUCUCUUCUUUCGUUUUGAGUUGGGGGGUCUUUGUUGUUUUCAAUCUUUGUUGCUUGGAGGUUUUUGGGGAAUUUACUGAAAUGGAUUUUGUUUGGAUCUUUGUUGGGUGUCUUUGAUUUGUUUUUGUGGCCUAUAUGGAGUGAAAAUAUUGAGUUGGGUUGUGCCUUUUCAUUGUGUGUAGCGAGAAUUUUGAUAUUGUGUUAUUGUAUACUUGUAUUGACUAUGGAAUAUAACAACAACAAAUGAGAAUUUGGAGUGAAAAUAUUGUAUGAUUUCAAUUCCAUGUUUCAAUGUCUUGCAUUUUGCUUCCCAUUGGCUUUGGUCAAAGAGAAGAGAGUAUAUAUAACAGGGCCACAGCCACAAGUUUUAAAGUUAUGUUUUCUGGUUAAACUUUCAUUUGGGAUUUUCUAACUUGUAAUGUAAUGUAAUGCUCACCUUUCCAUUCCCUACUAUUAUGUUACUUGUCCUAUUACUUUACUAAUUUAGGCCUUUAACAUUUUGUUCAUUGUUCCUUUUUCUAUGGUUGAGAAUAGGUCACUACUUGUGCUUGUUCUAUUUCACUCAUUCUUCAUUAUUCUUACGAAGCUUAUUUAUUCAUUAAAAAAAAGAUUUUGUGGUCACCGAUUCAUGCUUUUUUAUGGAUCACCUGAAAGGAGAGAAACAAUCACCGUUUCAAUGAAAAGGAAAACUCUUUCAACAAAUUUUUCAAAUGUACAUCUUCAUAUAGUUCUUAUGAUCUUUCAUCUCUUUUGAUCCAUUGAAGAAGUCUUUUGUAACUCCUUUGGUUUGGGCACAUGUCCUUCUUUUGUAAAUUUCAUACAUCAAUAAAAUUUAUUUCUUAUUAGAAAAAAAAAACCCUUUUUGCUGUUGAGGUGGUGGUGGGGGAAGAUUUGAGUAGAUGUAGUAAUCAAAAGGAGCAAUCUCUAUGCUAUGAUGCUCUUAUGUUUUAAAGGAUGGUAUUUUACAUAUAUAUUUUUUUAAUGUCAAAUAUUGUAGAGUUUGAUGGUUGCCUCACAGGGUUAGACAACGUGCACAAUGUGUGCAACGAAUAUUUUAACUGGAAGAUCCCUACUUAACGGUUGAUUUGUGUUGGACUUCAUCAGCCCUUUCCUUUAUAUAUGUUCUCUUUUCAGUUCAACCUUUUUAAUUAAAUUCUUUUAAGCUAUUUGCAGGGACCUGUAUUUUUAGACCUCUCUAAUGGUUACUUAUCCACAACAUUGUCAAUUUAAGGUUAAGUUUUCGAUGCUUUGAAACAAGUUUCAUUUCAUUUUGACUUUGUACUGCCUUAUUGAUUUCUCUCUUUUUUAUCUCUCUUUUUAGAUCUUUUAUAUAUAGGAUGUUUACAAUUUUGUUGAGAGAUAAAAGUAAGAUAAAAUGCCACUUUUACUUUAAAUAGUUAUUGUUUUAAUACUUUUCAACAUACUUGAGGAAGAAGGGGAUGUCAUAAUCAAGCAUGGAACAUAAUCAUGAGAGAGUCGGUAUGCUACAACACACAUGGGAUUCACACAUCUCAGUUCAAGAAGAUUUGGAAGGAAGAUAGGAAGGUUGCAUUGGACAUAUUUUAAGAAGGUUGAUAAGUGGAGAAGGUGCAUCUAACACAAAAGGGACUUCAUAACAAUAUUAAUAACAAAUACAAGAAAGUCAUGCUUUCGAUUUGGAUCAAAUCUAUGGUGGGUGGUAGAGAGAACAUGACGAAGGAGCAAUUGAAAGACUAUUUGGAAAAUAUAUAAUGGCAACAAGUGUGUGUGCAUUUUUGUUUUGUUUGGAUCUAACAAAAUUUUAAUUUUGCUAUGUAACCCUUAUGAGUUUUGGUAAUUUGUUGAUUAUCUUGGUUUUAGAGUUAAAUUAUCAUCCAAUUCCUCUCUUGUGACUUAUUAUUAUGGAUUUAUGAAAGCAAUUAAGAAUUUAUUUUGUGCA